rnacentral:rRNA from 1 species
UACGGGGGGGGUAAGCGUUGUUCGGAAUUACUGGGCGUAAAGGGCGCGUAGGCGGCCUGUGCAAGUCAGUUGUGAAAUCUCCGAGCUUAACUCGGAACGGUCAACUGAUACUGCUCGGCUAGAGUGCGGAAGGGGCAACUGGAAUUCUUGGUGUAGCGGUGAAAUGCGUAGAUAUCAAGAGGAACACCUGCGGCGAAGGCGGGUUGCUGGGCCGACACUGACGCUGAGGCGCGAAAGCUAGGGGAGCGAACGGG